UCUCUGAAGAAGAUAUAGAAUCUUGUAUCAUUAACUAUUUGGGUACAAUUAAAGCUACAGAAAAUUUCAAGAAUGGACCUCAUCAGUAUGAACCAAUUAUGUGUAGUGCUUCUCCAUCCCAUUUACAAUCACGAGUUUUUUUAAAGGAUACUGAAGAGAGAACAUAUGCAUGUGUCGCGGGCCUUGCACCAAAUAUAUGGGGAUUCAACAUUGAUGGAAAACACUAUCUUGAGUCGAAGUUAAUUGUCGGGGAAAAUUGGAUAAGUAAUCUUCAUAGACAUCCGUUUUUCUUUCUCAUCACAAUGGAGUUCCUGACCGAACUUAUAGACACACGGCUCGUUGAAGCUGUUAAUGGUUCUUAUUUGGCAUAUCAAGCAAAAUUGGAUGUACAC